CUUGCGGGCCCUUGCCUUAAUACAUGCAAGUUCCGAACGAACUCUGGUAUUGAUUGGUGCUUGCAUCAUGAUUUACAUUUGAGUGAGUGGCGAACUGGUGAGUAACACGUGGGAAACCUGCCCAGAAGCGGGGGAUAACACCUGGAAACAGAUGCUAAUACCGCAUAACAACUUGGACCGCAUGGUCCGAGUUUGAAAGAUGGCUUCGGCUAUCACUUUUGGAUGGUCCCGCGGCGUAUUAGCUAGAUGGUGGGGUAACGGCUCACCAUGGCAAUGAUACGUAGCCGACCUGAGAGGGUAAUCGGCCACAUUGGGACUGAGACACGGCCCAAACUCCUACGGGAGGCAGCAGUAGGGAAUCUUCCACAAUGGACGAAAGUCUGAUGGAGCAACGCCGCGUGAGUGAAGAAGGGUUUCGGCUCGUAAAACUCUGUUGUUAAAGAAGAACAUAUCUGAGAGUAACUGUUCAGGUAUUGACGGUAUUUAACCAGAAAGCCACGGCUAACUACGUGCCAGCAGCCGCGGUAAUACGUAGGUGGCAAGCGUUGUCCGGAUUUAUUGGGCGUAAAGCGAGCGCAGGCGGUUUUUUAAGUCUGAUGUGAAAGCCUUCGGCUCAACCGAAGAAGUGCAUCGGAAACUGGGAAACUUGAGUGCAGAAGAGGACAGUGGAACUCCAUGUGUAGCGGUGAAAUGCGUAGAUAUAUGGAAGAACACCAGUGGCGAAGGCGGCUGUCUGGUCUGUAACUGACGCUGAGGCUCGAAAGUAUGGGUAGCAAACAGGAUUAGAUACCCUGGUAGUCCAUACCGUAAACGAUGAAUGCUAAGUGUUGGAGGGUUUCCGCCCUUCAGUGCUGCAGCUAACGCAUUAAGCAUUCCGCCUGGGGAGUACGGCCGCAAGGCUGAAACUCAAAGGAAUUGACGGGGGCCCGCACAAGCGGUGGAGCAUGUGGUUUAAUUCGAAGCUACGCGAAGAACCUUACCAGGUCUUGACAUACUAUGCAAAUCUAAGAGAUUAGACGUUCCCUUCGGGGACAUGGAUACAGGUGGUGCAUGGUUGUCGUCAGCUCGUGUCGUGAGAUGUUGGGUUAAGUCCCGCAACGAGCGCAACCCUUAUUAUCAGUUGCCAGCAUUAAGUUGGGCACUCUGGUGAGACUGCCGGUGACAAACCGGAGGAAGGUGGGGAUGACGUCAAAUCAUCAUGCCCCUUAUGACCUGGGCUACACACGUGCUACAAUGGAUGGUACAACGAGUUGCGAACUCGCGAGAGUAAGCUAAUCUCUUAAAGCCAUUCUCAGUUCGGAUUGUAGGCUGCAACUCGCCUACAUGAAGUCGGAAUCGCUAGUAAUCGCGGAUCAGCAUGCCGCGGUGAAUACGUUCCCGGGCCUUGUACACACCGCCCGUCACACCAUGAGAGUUUGUAACACCCAAAGUCGGUGGGGUAACCUUUUAGGAACCAGCCGCCUAAAGGGGGACCAGAAA
rnacentral:rRNA from 1 species